GCAUUGCGUUAUAAGAUCAGAGGCGAUGACCCUGGUGACGAUGUUGAGGGCGAGAAACCCCGGAAGAGGGUUCCCGCCAAGGUGAUGUGGUAUGCUCCUAUAAUACCACGGUUGAAACGUCUGUUCAUGAACAAAAAGCAUGCCAAGUCGUUGCGAUGGCACAAAGAGGACCGUAAGUCCGACGGGGAGUUGAGACACCCCGCUGAUGGAACGCAAUGGAGAAAGAUCGACAGAGUGUUCAAAGAUUUUGCAGCUGACGCAAGGAACAUAAGAUUUGGUCUAAGUACUGAUGGCAUGAAUCCUUUUGGCGAGCAGAGCUCCAGCCAUAGCACCUGGCCCGUGACUCUA
rnacentral:rRNA from 1 species